ensembl:lncRNA
AUGCAUCAUCUGAUUUGGUUGUUAUGGCAGUCCUGUAAGGUCCGGGUGGCUGUGGGUUGUCUCACCAUUUUCGAUGCAGAGUCUCUGAAACCACGCAUCAAGCAUCAGAGCAAAGAAGAGAAUCUACACUUUCCAGUUCCUGGUUCCGCCCUCUCUGAAGCACUUCAAGAGCGAUCUCCAUGGAGACAAACAUCGAACUCACUCCCUCCAGUUUGUAAAACUGAAUGUGAAUGGCCAUUCCAAAUCGGCUGUCUUAAUCCACUCAGAGCAGCAGGAAGUAUUUAACUGUUCAACAUAUUAAAUGAACAAAAAAAUACAGGUGAGUAAGACUGACUCAUGGCUGGAUAAGAGGCAAAAGUAGAUGGCUUUCCAUUGGCCUGGUUAGAGACCUUGGAUAGGCUAAAGUGUAUCCUGUAGUUCACCACACAUCUCUUCCCAUUCUGGCCAGGCCUUGCCAACCUGGUGUUGGACCGGACUGUAAGGUAUGUGCAUUGUGGAGAGAAGCAAGGAAGCUGGGGGUGGAAUAAGGGCUCAGAACAAAUGCUGGAGCCAGGGAGUUCCAGAAAACAAGGGAGAGGGUUCUCAUUAGAUUAUGAGCAAGUCUAGAGCUAGGGAAGAACAUUUAUUUAUUUUUAUAUUUCUUAAGCCUAGUGCAGUGCCUGGCACAUAGUAAUUGCUCAGCAGAUAUUUGUUGACAGAAUAAUAAAUAAACUGAUGUGGACCUUUACUAACUUCACUACCCCUUUUUUCUAUGCAUCAAGAUUUCAGGUUAAAGUGCCUGAUGGCUGCCACUGGCAUUGCCACUUCUGAUCUUGUUCUCAUUUGCGAACUCCCAGCUUUUUGUCUGGCUUUGGGAGCCUGGUUGGGCCUCCAGCUCUGGCCUUCUAUGUCUGCUGCCAGCUCUGAAGUUCUGAUGGGAUCCGUGUCAGGUAGUGUGUUUCAGAAUACUUAAGCUUUCCAUUUAGUUGUAAUAAAAUCCCAAUUUUUUCCUGAAAAAAUAUUGUUGUUUUUUUUAAAGAAAAUUGUUUGUAAAACAUGAUUUUUUUUUCAUGUGAAAUAUGAAACAUGAUUUUGUAACGAUAUGAGACUCCACAUCUAUGGUGGUGGUUUUACCAAAAUUUUCGCUCCUGGCCAUAAAAGUAAAAAGUUUAGAUGUUUUGGAGGCAGCUUGACAGUAGCUACCAAAAUAAAGUCUAAUUAUUUUGAUCUGGUAAUUCCAGUUCUAGAAAUCUAACUUACAGAACUACAUAAGUGUGCAAGGGCAUAACUGCAAAGAGGCUAAUGCCAUAUUGUUUGCUUGUGAUAGUAACAAAAGAGAAGUCUUUGAAUCUGAGAUUGUAGGUCAGUAUCAAAGUUCACGUGCCCAUUUCUUCCUUGUUUUCUUAUGAUCACUGAUCAUGGAUAAUAUGUGCAGCCAGGAGUAGAUUAAAGAGAUUUAUAAAUUUGAGUUGUGCAAUUUCCAUGCAUUUUAUUCAUGUUAGAAGGCAGAUGACUCCUCUCUCACGGUCAAAGGAAGCCUUGAACAAAAUGGCGAGAAACAUGAAGGUUGUUUGGCGUUUUCCCCUUGCAGUGCCUGUAUUCUCCUGUUGUCUUAAAAUGGCAGAGAUUUUCAAGUAGACCCGGGUAUAAAUGUCAGCUCCAUCAUUUACCAACAGUGUAAACUCGGUCACUCAGUUUAGUCUUUCAAAGCCUUAGUUUUCUCCUAGGUAACACAAUAAUAUUCAUCAAACUGGGCUUUCACGAAGAUUAAAUGAGAUACCAUAUGUGAAAAUACCUAUUGCAUACUGUAGAUGCUCAAUAAUUGUUUUCUUCCUUCUGAUUGUUAUUUUAAGAAUUCUCUCAAAAACACGCUGGGUUUUAGUGUUCUCAGAGCAUUUUAAUCUCCACCAGGUCCCUGUGGUUCAGGGACAACGGCAGUUAGAUCAGCACCUCUCUUCCUGACUUGUGCCGCCCCCACCUUGCCCUUGCCCCGUUCCCCUUUCUUCCUCUCUGUCUUCUCUCCUCAUUUCCUUCUUUUUCUUGCCUUGUUUUCUUCCUUUCCUAUUUCCACUUGGUUUUUUCCUUUUAAAAAUUCCAUACCUUCUUAUUUUCCAGUCCUCCAUUUAUUUCCUAGACUACUGGGGGAGAAACGUGGUUUAAAAAAAGAGAAAGAAACACGAAGUGCACAAGAUAAAUAAAACCAACUCUUUUGCCUUCACACUCAAGCCACACCUCGUUUCUCCAAGCCUCUGUGUCUUUGCACAUGCUAUGCCUUCUUUUCCCCACUUUGGCUAAAUUCUACUUAUGCUUUGGGUCUGAGUCAUUUCCUGGGCCUGGGUUCCAACAUGCUAAGACAUAUGCUCUGCUCACUUUGCCCACAGCACUUCAUGCUUCCCAGACCAAAAUACCAGCAUAACUAAGUUGUAAUUGCUUGUUUAAUAAUCUUUCUUUUCUGCUAGACUAUGAACUUUCAUGCCCAAGGAAUGUGUUCCACCUGUUUAUUUUUGCAUCUCUAGAGCUUGGCUCAGUGCUUGACACUUGAUAGGUGCUUGUUGAAUGGAGAUGUAACUGUAGCUUGUUUUCAUCAUCAAGACAUCUGGGAGAGCCAGCCUAGUUUUUCUCAAGCUGAAUUCUACUCUCUGUCUUCUGCCACGUUCUUGCACUGAAAUUUUGGUCCACAAUCUUCAGAAGGCCAAAUAAAAGCAGGAAGAGGUAUCAAAUGCUAUCUAUGCUUAUUUCAUUGGAAUAAACUUCCAAACCCCCAUAGCUUGGGAGAUAAGUCUCCAAAUUUACUUCUCAACUUUUUCUCCCUCCAUGAACCUUAUGGUAUACUCAUACCAAAUCUUCCAGCUAUCUUUAUCUUCUUGUACUUGUUAUGCUGUUUUAUCAACUUCUGGGGUUGAUUCUUUUCAUUCUUUGCCUAUGGAAAAUCUUUUGAUCCCUCAAGCUCCAGUUCAAAUAAUGGUUCUUACCUCUUGGAGUUAUUGUGAGAAUGAACUGAUACAAAAUGCAUAAGUGCAUAACACAGUUGUUGCCAUAGAGUAAAUGCUCCAUAAAGAUUAGCUGUUAGUGUCUUUUCUCAACCAGAUUUUAAGCACAAAGAGGGUGGGAACCAUGUUUCUAUUAUUCACAUCUAUAACCUAAGCAUCCACUUGAAGGCUGAUCACAUAGUACAUGCUCAAUAAAUGGUUUUUGACCAAGUGAGGGAAUAAAUAGUCCAAAUGACCAUAUAAUAGAUCAGACCAGAUAGUAAAUGUGGUGUGCUACUUCUAGGCUGUGCCAAUUACCAGGAUGUAGUGGACUUAGUCACAUGAAUAACUCCAGGUCUGGGCAAAGACUUCUUGAGCAAUACCCGACAAGCAGAAGCAACCAAAGGAAUCAUGGACAAAUGGGAUCACAUCAAGUUAAGAAGCUUCUGCACAGUAAAGGAUACAAUCAACAAAGUGAAGAGAUGAAUCAUAGAAUAGGAGGUAAUAUUUGCAAACUAACCGUCUGACAAGGGAUUAAUAACCAGAAUAUAUAAGGAGCUCAAACAACUCUAUAGGAAAAAAUCUAAUAAUCUGAUCCAAAAAUGGGCAGAAGAUUUGAAGACACAUUUCUCAAAAUAAGACAUACAAAUAGCAAAGGGACGUAUGAAAAGGUGCUCAACAUCAUUAAUCAUCAGAGAAAUGCAAAUUGUGACUACAAUGCGAUACCAUCUUACUCCCGUUAAAAUAGCUUAUAUCCAAAAGACAGGCAAAAAACAAAUGCUGGCGAGGAUGUGGAGAAAAGGGAACCCUCGUAUGCUGUUGGUGGGAAUGUAAAUUGGUACAACCACUAUGGAGAACAGUUUGGAGGUUUCUCAAAAACCUAAAAAUUGAACUGCCAUAUGAUUCAGCAAGCCCACUGCUAGGUAUAUACCCAAAAGAAAGGAAAUUAGUCUAUCGAAGAUGUAUCUGCACUCCUAUGUUUGUUGCAGCACUGUUGACAACAGCUAAGAUUUGGAAGCAACCUGUGUCCAUCAACAGAUGAACAAAUACAGAAAAUGUGGUGCAUAUACAAAAUGAACUACCAUUUAGCCAUAAAAAAGAAUAAGAUCCAGUCAUUUGCAACAAUAUGGGUGGAACUGGAGAUCAUUUUGUUAAGUGAAAUAAGCCAGGCACAGAAAGACAAAUAUCACAUGUUCUCACUUAUUUGUGGGAUUUAAAAAUCAAAUCAAUUGAACUCAUGGAGAUAGAGAGUAGAAGGAUGGUUACUAGAGGCUGGGAAGGGUAGUGGGGAGUUUGGGGGAUGGGCCGGGAUGGUUAAUGAGCACAAAAAUGAGAAAGAAUAAAUAAGACCUACUUUUUAAUAGCACAAUAAGGUGACUAUAGUCAAUAAUAACUUACUUGUAUAUUUUGAAAUAAAGAAUGUAAUUUGAUUGUUUGUAAACUAAAGGAUAAAUGCUCGAGAGGCUGGAGAUCCCAUUCUCCCUGAUGUGCUUAUUUCACAUUGCAUGCCUGUACCAAAACAUCUCAUGUACCCCAUAAAUGUAUACACCUACUAUGUACCCACAAAAUUUAAAAAAAGUAAAGAAAACUCCGGUUGUUUAGAUACCUAGAUGUGGCCUAAAAGAUUUUUUGAGAAUCAUUAAUAAAUGAUUAGUUACAUAUAUGCUUAGAUGCCAUCAAAGCACAAAAAAUAUGUAGAUUUCUUUGGUUAGCUGAAGGUUCUGUUUGAAUGUGGAAAACGUUAGGGUGAGAAUGAUCAAAGGCGAUUUAAUGUUUAAUCUGGUCUGGUUCACCAGAACCUUAUAAAGAGCCAACUGUGGAAAUCCUGUUUCCUCCCAUUCCCCCACCCUAGUGGUACACACAGUUAGAGCCAAUGUAAAUAGUGAAAAUCAAAUAUUCUGUUUUUGCCUAUUGAAUUUCUUUUGUGGAAGUUUGAAAUGGUUAGCUGAGUAUUUUAACUAAACUGAACAGAAUGCCAGAAAAGUCUUCUUUGAAAUGUGAAAUACUUUUAGCCUCACAAAAGUUCAUAUAAAAUAUAAGAAUACUAUGAAUGUAAGAAUAUGAC